rnacentral:lncRNA from 13 species
AUAAAGAAACUAUGAUUCAGCCAUUUCCCAGAUGCUGGACAGCAAAGGUGCCUGAUCAGUGGGUGCUGACUGAACCUGACUCAAUGAAGCAAUGGCUCCCAUAGGCCAUAAUGGAAUUCCUUUCUCCACCAUUAACAGCUCACAUCAUUCAGGGCCUGAGAGUGAGUUUGGAGACCUGACAUUUGGAGAGCUGCUUGGACAAACCGAAAGAAAGCCUGGCCCAGAAAAAAAACUCGAACAUCAUCUGGGCUUACAUUUUCAUCUUGCAACUGAGAAAAGGGAGACUGAGGAGAUGGGCAAACUGAAAAUUGGACAGAUUCAGUUCCUCAGAAAAGGUUUAUGGACAGCAGUUAAGAGUAGUCUCUGGAGGCACAUAAGCCACGUCUUCCAUGCCCACUUGAAGUCAGGUCUGGAUAUGAAAUACAAGCUGACCUGAAAUAUUCACACUUGAAAUCCGAAGGGCUUGUAAAAUACAAUUCAGCACCAUGGACAGCAGAAAAAUCCCAUUGACAGAAUAAAUCUGAAGUUUUCCUUUCCGUAUUCA